rnacentral:lncRNA from 1 species
UACGUAUUUAGCUGAGGAGAUUUCUAAGCAUCUAACAGACUGGUUUUCUCUCACAGGUGAUAGAAAAUAUGAAAGAGGAGAGAGAAGGUGAAGAAGGAAAGCUCAGAGUUGUUGAGAGCUGAGCUCCUCCCUGGGAUGAGGCUAAGACUGGAGGCCGACAGAUGCGACUUCACUCCUUUACCUUAUCACUUCAGCUCCUCGAUUUGCAGCAGAACUAACUUGAAGACUCUGCAUUGUUUACACUUACUACCAGGGAGGCGUCGGCUGUCCACAGCCUGCCGAGGUGGCCAUCGUCCGUCUGGGAGCCUCUGUCUGGCCACCCCUCUCCUGUGUGACCACCCCACUUCCCCCACCG